GGGUUGUGAGGUUAAGCGACUAAGCGUACACGGUGGAUGCCCUGGCAGUCAGAGGCGAUGAAGGACGUGCUAAUCUGCGAUAAGCGCCGGUAAGGUGAUAUGAACCGUUAUAACCGGCGAUUUCCGAAUGGGGAAACCCAGUGUGAUUCGUCACACUAUCAUUAACUGAAUCCAUAGGUUAAUGAGGCGAACCGGGGGAACUGAAACAUCUAAGUACCCCGAGGAAAAGAAAUCAACCGAGAUUCCCCCAGUAGCGGCGAGCGAACGGGGAGGAGCCCAGAGCCUGAAUCAGCAUGUGUGUUAGUGGAAGCGUCUGGAAAGGCGCGCGAUACAGGGUGACAGCCCCGUACACAAAAGCGCAUGUGCUGUGAGCUCGAUGAGUAGGGCGGGACACGUGGUAUCCUGUCUGAAUAUGGGGGGACCAUCCUCCAAGGCUAAAUACUCCUGACUGACCGAUAGUGAACCAGUACCGUGAGGGAAAGGCGAAAAGAACCCCGGCGAGGGGAGUGAAAAAGAACCUGAAACCGUGUACGUACAAGCAGUGGGAGCACCCUUUGGGGUGUGACUGCGUACCUUUUGUAUAAUGGGUCAGCGACUUAUAUUCUGUAGCAAGGUUAACCGUAUAGGGGAGCCG
rnacentral:rRNA from 1 species